AGUGAACCUGCAGAUGGAUCAUCGU
rnacentral:rRNA from 1 species